GAAGCGGGGCGGGGCGGCGGGAGAGCAGGAAGCGGCGAGAGUGCGGAGCUCCGGCAGGUCCGGGCCGCCGCGGAAUAGCCGGCGCCGAGAGGCGCAGGCCCAGGCCCGGCCCAGGCAGUCGGCGCCGGGAGAAGACGCGACGAGAGGCGGGCGAACCCAGAGGAAGCCGCCCGAGCCCGGGCAGGGCCUGAGGGCCGACACGCCGUCCCGCUGCCCCUCCCCCUCACGUCAGGGCACUUACCUCCUCGCAGCUGGGGCGCUCCGGUGAUCCAGUCCCGUCAGUUCAGAUCGUCUCUCCCCGACCGCCGCGCCUGACUGACCCGGAUCCAAACCCGCGGAAGGGGCGGCCCGCGCCUCCGGAGGCGCACUGCGCCUGCGUCACUCGGGCAGGGCCCCGCCUCCUGCUCAUGCCCCUCCCACCCCAGUGACUCGGCAGCGCAGUUGGCGGUGGCCGCGCAGGCGCGGGGUGGUGGCCUCGCCUCUCGAGCGCCCCGCCCCGCCCCUCUCAGAAGCACGUGCGCUUGCGUCAUUUCCUGUUAUUCUUUUCGCUCCCACCUCCUGCGCUGUGUUUGUUGGGGAGCGACUUUUGGGGAGUGUCUGCUUCCUCUUUUCUGUCAGGGCUCGAAAUAUGCCCUCUUAUGAUACUGGGCUUAAGCAGGGAGCUGCAACUCCGGGUUGGCAGGCAGUCACCUAGUCAGGAAGGUAAACCACAGAGACUCUACAGUGUACUGUUACCCAACUUUGAUGUUCAAAUGAGGAAAUUGAAGCAGAGAGCAGUUAAGCAACUUGCCUGAGGUUGCACAGCACACGUGUGGUGGAGCUAGAAUCUGAACCCGGGAGUCUGCCUUCCCUGCCUGCCUCUGAUGCUGUUUGAACAUCUUGAACCGGGAAGACCUGCAGGCACCGUGGGGCGGUGUCCAGGGGCAGGAGGACAUGUCAGUCUGAAGCUCAAGUAGGAGGUGGGGACUGGAACUAGGAACUAUGGAACCCACAUACCUGUGGCCACUGAAGCCACAGGAUUGGGUGAGGACCCCGUGAGGGGCGGGGGAAUCGUAGGUGAAAGAAGCAAGGGAAACGCUGGAAGGUAAACACAAGCAUUUGUAGGGAGGAUGCAUUCCAUCUGCAAGCUGGUCACUUGUCACUGUUUAUAGGUACCAGUCAGCACUUAUGAAGUCCACUCCCCUGAAUUAGAUCGGCUCUGGGCAUCCUGCCAAAGUAGAGUUCUUGUCCCACAAUCCUGCAGACCUACCCAGGAUGGGGUGAUCCUUCCUACUGUCUUCCACUGUGAGAGUCUACUUGGUGGCUUCACUGAACAUCUGGGUUUGUCCCUCACCACCAUAGCAGCAGAGCCUCUAGCCCUUCUGCUUACCGUAUGCCAGCUCCCUGGGGACAACGCCCACCCCCAUGUAGGUUCGGUCCGCACUAUGCACACCAUGGCUCUUCACUUACCCCGUCAGAGCCAGGCUACAUCUCGGACCCCCGCACCUGACACAGGGUCUGCUGCAGAGUGUUGGUGAGGGUGAGCCAGAGUCGCCCAGUCAGUCAGUCAGUAGGUUCACUCUGGGUGGUUCCCUGGAGAGCCAGCUGGGACUGCCGCUUCCUUCAGCUGUUUCUUUGAGCUGCAGGGCCUCUCACCACUCUGUGGUUGGGGGAAGUAGGAAUGGGCUGCUGUCUCCUGUUACUAUCGUAAUAGCCCUCAAGCUACGGUAGCCUGUUAUUUUGAUGUUUGCUUUCCUGGAAUGUUAGGGGGCAGAAAAGGAAGUGAAGGAGGGCCUGGCCUUGCCCGCCUGGAUGAGUGUCCUGGCCGUGCAUUUGGGUCCUUUUCCAGGUUUCCACUGGUCACCAGCAGAGGGUGCCACAGGAUCGCAGGCUCUCGCCUUCAUUGGGAUAAAGCAGAACUGUUGAAGAGCCGAGGUUAAUGGAUCACUUGCCUUCUCACCCACAUUUUUGUUCAUUUGAACUUUGCAGUUUAAACAGUAGAGUAUAUGUGUGUUUUCUGUGUGUGUAUUUAAACUCCAAUAAAAAGUUUGAAAACCCUAAGAAGAUAAAGAUAACCUCCGUAUGUAUGCCAUGAAAUAGGUAUUGGGUUAGAGGGAGCUGGUCUUUUUUCUCUACAAUUCUUGAUCUUGUCUGAGCUAUGAGAGUCCCCCCCAAGAGAGCCACAAAUCCCAGGUUAAGACCUCUUACAGCAGUAGAAGAGGAAAUAAGCAAAAAAGGAAAUAAAAUGGCCCUUAAGACAUAUGAAGAGAUGCUCAGCCUCAGUUUUCCAAAGAUAAAUGCUUCUUGGAAGUGCACUGACACACCAUUUUUAACCCAUCAGAUUGAAAGAAACCCCCAAGUUUGAUGGCACACUGGCUGGGGUUGGAGGAGGAGCCGGGCAUUGGGCAGCAGCCCCUUUCAUACAUUGCUGGUGGGAUUGUGCAAUGGA